rnacentral:lncRNA from 1 species
UUGGUGAAGGAGGAUAUGGGCCGGUUUUUAAAGCCACCCUUGACCAUACUGCUGUAGCCAUCAAGAUCUUAAGGCCAGAUAUAUCACAAGGACAGAAGCAAUUCCAACAAGAGGUAACUAUGCUUGUUAAUCCUGUUUCCCAAGAACAAUUAAACUUCAUUGAAUUUUACGGUGUCCCAAAACAUUGGGUAUCUCUUUUCUUGGUGAAGAAGUUUGAAUCAUCUCUUAUAGUAAAACUCAAAGCUGCAUUAUAGGUAAUCUGUCAAUUGCAAUAUAUUUAAAAUCACAGCUUCUAUAUAUCACAAUAAGAAAUAAAAAAGUGCCAGAAAUGAAUGAGGCGGGCAUCAUUUGACAUUAUAAUGAUAGCUGAAUAUAAUAUCUGAAAUGAGUGAAGAAUAGCAAAGAAUGUUGAGUUAAUUUCAUUUUAAAUUUAUAGAAAUGUUCCUUUUAUAGCUUCUUUUAAACUUGUUCAUAGUCUUAUAAUUUAAGAUGGCAAUGACUUAUAAAAGCCUUUAAAAGCCCUGCCACCUAGAAAACCAACAAAUAUGAUGUCCACAGCAAUUUCUCUAGCCAAAUAGAGGGGAGAUAAAGAGUAUGGUCUUACCUUCAUGUGUUUAUAGUGGCAGAACUUAUCUGUCCUUCUUCCUCCCUUUCAUUUGUAUUAAAUAAAUUUGUAAUGUAGGUUGAGGUUCUAAGCUGCAUGAGACAUCCACACCUGGUUCUGCUCAUAGGUGCCUGCCCUGAGUAUGGAUG